rnacentral:piRNA from 1 species
GGGAUGAGACUUUGCCGUCUUGGGUGUGG